rnacentral:rRNA from 1 species
GUAUCUGAAAGGGCCAUUUCAGUGAAGACGAGUAGGGCGGGGCACGUGAAACCCUGUCUGAACAUGGGGGGACCAUCCUCCAAGGCUAAAUACUACUGACCGACCGAUAGUGAACCAGUACCGUGAGGGAAAGGCGAAAAGAACCCCGGAGAGGGGAGGGAAAUAGAACCUGAAACCGUGUGCGUACAAGCAGUAGGAGCUCCGCAAGGAGUGACUGCGUACCUUUUGUAUAAUGGGUCAGCGACUUACUGUUCGUGGCAAGCUUAACCGUAUAGGGGAGGCGAAGGGAAACCGAGUCUGAUAAGGGCGCAUAGUCGCGGGCAGUAGACCCGAAACCGGGUGAUCUAGUCAUGCCCAGGGUGAAGGUGCGGUAACACGCACUGGAGGCCCGAACCCACUCCCGUUGCAAAGGUAGGGGAUGAGGUGUGAUUAGGAGUGAAAAGCUAAUCGAACCCGGAGAUAGCUGGUUCUCCUCGAAAGCUAUUUAGGUAGCGCCUCAUAUGUAUCCUCUCGGGGGUAGAGCACUGUUAUGGCUAGGGGGUCAUCGCGACUUACCAAACCAUUGCAAACUCCGAAUACCGAGACGGACUGUAUGGGAGACACACGGCGGGUGCUAACGUCCGUCGUGAAAAGGGAAACAACCCAGACCCACAGCUAAGGUCCCAAAUUUUGUGCUAAGUGGAAAACCAUGUGG